rnacentral:rRNA from 1 species
UACGUAGGGUGCAAGCGUUAAUCGGAAUUACUGGGCGUAAAGCGUGCGCAGGCGGUUUGGUAAGACAGGCGUGAAAUCCCCGGGCUUAACCUGGGAACUGCGUUUGUGACUGCCAGGCUAGAGUACGGCAGAGGGGGGUGGAAUUCCACGUGUAGCAGUGAAAUGCGUAGAGAUGUGGAGGAACACCAAUGGCGAAGGCAGCCCCCUGGGUCGAUACUGACGCUCAUGCACGAAAGCGUGGGUAGCAAACAGG